rnacentral:rRNA from 1 species
UACGGAGGGUGCGAGCGUUAAUCGGAAUUACUGGGCGUAAAGCGCACGCAGGCGGUUUGUUAAGCAAGAUGUGAAAGCCCCGGGCUCAACCUGGGAACUGCAUUUUGAACUGGCAGACUAGAGUCUUGGAGAGGGGGGUGGAAUUGCCAGGUGUAGCGGUGAAAUGCGUAGAGAUCUGGAGGAACAUCAGUGGCGAAGGCGGCCCCUGGCCAAAGCACUGACGCUCAUGUGCGAAAGUGUGGGUACGACAUGAUUAGAUACCGUA